CGGGUCCGUGAAAAAGACCAAUCGGAGGUGGAAGGUGGUGCGGGGACGGAGACGCUAGGACCUGGCGGCCGGCGCAGACGGAAGCCAUACCAAGGACCCUGCAGUCUCAAAUGAGAUUCUUGCACGGUUUCCUCUCACGGAGCAUCACUUCCUGUUCAGUCUCCUCCCGCUGAGACUCCUCCCUCUUGGGCCCCAGCAACCGUUCGGAGAAAGAGCUGGGGACCGAACCCAGGACCUUGAGCUUGCUAGGCAAGCGCUCUACCACUGAGCUAAAUCCCCAACCCCGAUAAUGCUUUAUUCUUAAAGACUUAUCAUUUCACUUUGUAUCAUUCUUCUUACAUUUAGCCAACUUUGAUUAACCAUCUUUUCUUUAUUUGGCAUCCAGAUGGUUUUGUAUCUGCUGCACUUUUUCCUUUCUCACGACACCAACAUCCAUCUCUACCCCUCGGUUUACUUCCAGGUGCUUCCACUCUCCGUUCUUCUCCCCUAUCCCUGCUUCCUUCUCAUUUUUCAUUCAUUUGCUGAGUAAAUGUACUCUAUAUUGAGUUUACUGGGGUGUUUUCCUACUAUAACAGAGUGUUUUCACCUCUCAGUGUUACUGGGAAUUGGGAUCUCAAGAAUAGACUAGUUACUGAGAAGAUCCUAAAUCAAACCUUAAGAGAUUAUCAACAUCAAUACCAGUAAAUGAAAACAGUAAGACAGCAUAAGGUACAAAGGGUCAUGACUCCUCCAUUCCUGAAUCCAAAGAAGCUAAGAUUAUUGAAUUCCUAAGAAUUCAGUGUCUGCAUCUAAAUGAAUCAAUGGCUUAAGGGUGAAACUAAUAGAGGGGUGGUGUGAACGAAUAACAGCAAGGGAGAAGAGAAGUCGGUGGUGUGGCUAAGAAAUUCAGCAAGAGGGUCAGAUGGAAGGACAGCAAUGUUGGAAGUGAAAACCAAGCAAAAGGAGUGGAAAGCGUCCUCAGUAGUCUAGAGGAAACAGCAGACAGAACCAAGGAUGAAAGGCCAGCCCAAGGAAACUCAACACCCAAACAUCAAAGCAAAAAAAUUAAACCAGUAUGGCCACACAGUCUAAACACUCUAGGGUAUGACCAAACAGCCAAACCUAAGAAUCCACAGGCUAGAACAAAAGAGGGAGAGAGAGCAGAAAUAAACAAUGAAGACGUAGAAAAUGUAUUCAGUGAAAUUACAGCAGAAAAUUCCCAAAACUCUAGGGAAAGAAACAGAUAUCCAAACCCAAGAAAUAUUUAUCCCAAAGAGACAGAGCUAGAGAGGAAUGUCUCCAUGACACAUCACAGUCAAGAUGCUGAAACCACAGAAUAACCAGAUCAGAUGAAACAGAGGAAGACGUCAAACUCACUCCACAAGCAGCAGAGCAGCGCUCGGAUCACCAGCGGGAAGCCCGACAGCACGGGACGGUGUUUCAGGCCCUGAAAUUGAAUGACUGCCAACCAAGAUCCAGCAAGGUCAAUGUUAAAACUGGCAGACUAAACAGGAAAAGACAUAAAUCGUGUCGUAUAGAGCGUCGCAUCUUGAGUAGUAGUAUGUUAUCCGCUAAUCACAAUAUCCAAGCAAAGCCUGUUCCUGCGUCAUGCACCUCACCCACAACUCCAGCUGUUUCAGAGGCUGAGGCCAAAUUUGAAGAAACACAGUUUAAAGUCAACCUGAGUGUGAUGGUUUGUAUAUGUGCAGGCCAGGGAGUGGCAUAAUUAGAAGGUGUGACCCUGUUGGGGUAGGUGUG
rnacentral:sRNA from 1 species